rnacentral:rRNA from 1 species
GAUGAACGCUGGCGGCGUGCCUAAUACAUGCAAGUAGAACGCUGAAGCUUGGUGCUUGCACCGAGCGGAUGAGUUGCGAACGGGUGAGUAACGCGUAGGUAACCUGCCUCUUAGCGGGGGAUAACUAUUGGAAACGAUAGCUAAUACCGCAUAAAAGUCGAUAUCGCAUGAUAUUGAUUUGAAAGGUGCAAAUGCAUCACUAAGAGAUGGACCUGCGUUGUAUUAGCUAGUUGGUGAGGUAACGGCUCACCAAGGCGACGAUACAUAGCCGACCUGAGAGGGUGAUCGGCCACACUGGGACGGAGACACGGCCCAGACUCCUACGGGAGGCAGCAGUAGGGAAUCUUCGGCAAUGGGGGCAACCCUGACCGAGCAACGCCGCGUGAGUGAAGAAGGUUGUCGGAUCGUAAAGCUCUGUUGUAAGAGAAGAACGAGUGUGAGAGUGGCAAGUUCACACUGUGACGGUAACUUACCAGAAAGGGACGGCUAACUACGUG